CCCUUAGAUGUCCUGGGCUGCACGCGCGCUACACUGGAAGUUGCGGAUUGAGAUACUACCUUGUCCGAAAUGGUCCGGGUAAUCACCUAAAAGCUUGUCAUAAUUGGAAUGGAUUAUUGUAACUAGUAAUCCUGAACGAGGAAUUCCUAGUAAGUCCCAGUCAACAGCUGGUACUGAUUACGUCCCUGCCCUUUGUACACACCGCCCGUCGCUACUACUGAUUGGACGUUUAAGCAAGAUUUUUAAACACUGACAGUGUGUAGUUCACGCUAUACUACAGUGAGAAGAAGAAGAUCGAGCUUACUUGUCUAGAGGAAGUAAAAGUCGUAACA
rnacentral:rRNA from 1 species